AUGCUAAGACGAUUCUCGAGCUUAUGACCGCCGGUACACCAAGGGCUGAUGGCAAGAUUCUCAUCAUUGGUGGAGGUAUUGCUAAUUUCACAAAUGUGUCGGCAACAUUUAAGGGCAUAGUUAAAGCUCUCCAAGAAUACCAGAAAAGACUUAUAGAGCACAAGGUAGAGAUAUAUGUGCGAAGAGGAGGGCCAAACUAUCAAGAGGGUCUCCGUGUUAUGAGGGAA